AUUUUGGUCAACCAAGAAGUAUUUUAAAUAUUUUUAAAGGGCAAUUGCUUAGAUACCCCUGCAAGAUUUUCGAUUUUUUUAUUUAUCUCUUUUAGAAGGCUAAUAUUAAAAAUAUUCUUUUAACGUAUCAAGUUCUUUCAAAUAUACUCUAGAAUUAGAUACUGUGAAUGAACGGUUAGGAACAACUAUUAUCUCUAUAAAAUUACUAUUUUGUUCUUUUAAAUAUACCCUUCUACUGUCACCAACUUUUCUCAUUUGCUCUUAAAUUGGGGCACAAAGAGGUAUUUUGAUUUCUUAUUUCUUUUCAAAUAUAUUUUUCUAUAGUCACCAACUUUUUUUUAUUUGUUCUUAAGUCAGGGGCAGAAUGGUAUUUUGGUUUUUUUUAAACUUUAGUAGAAAUUUAAUUCGAAUUUAAUCCGAGACAACU
rnacentral:lncRNA from 1 species